GCGUUCCGACUCCGGUCUGGUGUAUGGGUUGCACUCGGUCUCUCUGGCUAUUUUGUGUGUUCCGAUCUGACAGCCCACAUGCCUCUGCUGUACGCCUCGGCCACAGGACACAGAGCACUAAGAAGACAGAGAACCGCCAGUUUGGAUAAUAUCUCAAGGCUUAAUAGGGAAGGAAGGUGGCAUUGAAAAAAAAAAUGUCCACAGCAUUACAGCAGCAAUCCUGUGUGGCAUUUUUGGCUCACUCAAGAGUGUGGGUAAAUCCUGAGAAUUGGAGCCAAAAAUAAAGCUCAUGAACCUGAAAUUACCAUGAAAUUCUGAUUUUAAGAAGUCCUACUAUGAAAUAGUGAUAUAUUUCUUCAACAAAAUGCCUGUGAUUCACUGACUGGGAUAAAGGUGCAUUUCCAAAAUACAACUAUGUUCAAUUUCUUAAUUAAAUGAUUUAAGAAUAAAACUCUUGAACCAUUUUCCAGAGGAUAAGCUCUCGUUUUCCCAGUCCACUGGGAAGAGGUGAAAAAGGCACGUUAGAAACUGAAAGGUAAGCUAGCAGG
rnacentral:lncRNA from 1 species